rnacentral:lncRNA from 1 species
CGGAAACUUAACGGAGUUUUUAACGGAAGGACUAAAAAGAUGGUGGACAAUCUCAGGGAUCACUUUUAUCGAUUUGGAAUCCCAGGAACCAAAGUGAUGAGUUAUGCAAAUCUCAAGGACCAUUUUGGCGAUCUACCCAAAUUUUAAUAAAAACCUUCUAAAUCGUUAUAACCCCUCGCUAUAACACCUGUGUAGUUUAAAAAAAUCAUACCACGUAUCAAUGUAAAAUCAAAAGUAUAUCAACAAUAAAUCCAUAAAUAUACCACGAC